rnacentral:lncRNA from 1 species
UCCCUCUCAUGUGUUUGUAGUCACUUGUUCAACAAGUGGAAUUUGAGCCUAACUCAUGUUAUAAGACUAAUCCCCUAAGGAGGUAGGAAUGACUUCAAACGAUCCACUAAACAACUCCUAUUGUUUAAUGGAUAUGAGUAUGCUUAUUGGAAAGAGAAGACACAACUAUUUAUAGAGGGGAUGGAUUUAUGAUAUUUGGGAUGCUCUAAAAAACUUGUUCCCACAAAUCUUGUCGAUGGUGUUUUGGAAAACAAAUCUAGAUAAAUCUGGAUCAAAGAGGAUAAGGAAAAGGUGAAAUACAAUUAGAAGGAAAAAACUAUUAUCACCAUCUCCCUUGGUAUUGAUGAUAUCUUUUGUGUUUCUCACUGUGAAUCUGCAAAAGAAAUGUGAGACACCUUUAAAGUUUCCCAUGAUGGUACAACUGAGAUAAAAAGAGGAAGAAUAGAAUGAACACAUUGACCCAUGAGUACGAAUUAUUUAGAAUAAAACCUAUGGAAAACAUUCAAAACAUGGAAAAACAUUUUAUCCUAAUUAUGAAUCAUUUGAAAACUCUAGGCAAAACUUUUCUAAAUGAGGAUUUGAUUAUCUAAGUUCUUAGAUGCCUAAAUCGCGUUUGGCAACCUAAUGACACUAGGAUUUCUGAAUCUUAAGAUUUAUCUUCUAUAGAUUUGGCUAUAUUGUUUGGAAAAUUAUAGGAAUAUGAAAUUUAACAACAACAAAAAAGCUAGCAAAAAAUGAAGGUGAUAAAAAGAAGAAAAAUCUUGCACUAAAAGCUAAAGAUGUCAAAGACAUGGAAUCAGAUGAUGAAAAUUGUCAAAGUAAAAAUGAUAAAGACAUGUAUCUCUUAUCUCGGAAAUUCAAAGACUUCAUAAACCACAAAAAAUAACCUCACAAAUUCCAGAUGCAAAAUAAAUAAAUAUCAACUGUCAUUUCAAUUUUCUUCGAGUGUGGAAAAAAAGGGCACAUAAAGCUAGAAUGUCUGCAAAAUCAAAGGAAAUCUAUAAGAUACAAAAGACCUCAAAAAUAUUCAUAGAUAGCUUACAUUACUUGGAACGACAAUGACAUGAACUCCUCCAAUGAAUUUAUAAAAGAGGAAGAAAUCAACCUAUAUGUAAUGAAAAACCACAAAGAAAAUAAGAUUAAUAAUAUAACUUUUAAAUUUACUUAUAAUUAGCUAUAUUCCUCAUAUGUAAAGAGUUAGAUAGACAAUCAAGUAAAUUAAAAAAUGUGUUUCUCCUUCUAAGGCUACUAUUUCUUCUCUUGAAAUAGAAAAUAAUAAUUUGCUGGAAGAAAUAGAUAACCUUAGAGAAAAACAAAGUGUUCUCAUUCAAAGCUCUUGUUCCCCUUCUUCUCCUUCUUAUGAUGAUUUUGUUCAACCUAUUAAGUGUGAACACUAUGAUAUUUUAGAAAAUAAAAUUGGCGAUAUGCAUAACACACUUGAUUAGUUUACUAAAGAAAAAGAUAACUUAAAUCGCAUUCUAGAUAGUCAAAGAGCCUCCUAUAAUAAAGUUGAUCUAGAUUAUGAACUUAAAAUAAUGCUAAAAAUUUUAGUAACAUAUGUCAUACGAAUAGGAUCUCUAAAUAAAACUUAACUACAAUAAUAAAAAUGGUCAUGCUACUUUAUUCCGUUUUAUUAAAAAAAAAUCAUGAAAGUAAAAAUGUCUAUUAUACUUCUCAUUUCUACAAAGAAUACCCAUGAAAAUAAAAUAAAAAAUAUUUAAAAUAUUUAUGCUUCAUCCUACUUCUAUAAUAAUAAUUCUAGUUGAAAACCUAGAGAUAAUAUGCAUUUUACUAAUGCAAGAGCACCAAAAAUGAUUUUGAUAUCAACUAUUAAAAAAUUAAAACUUUGAAGAAAAAAAUCAAUGAUAACUCAUAAGUGGUAUUCUUAAAAUUUUGAACAAAAUUUCGAUGAUAUCUUAUCGGUGGCAUUUUUGAAAUUUUGAACAAAAAUUCUAUGAUAUCCAACCGAUAGAAAUUUCGAAAGAAAAUAUAGUUUACUUUUAUUUUUAAAUAUGGACUUUGGAGUUAUCCCCUCGAUAUACUAUUAUUCUAAGUAUUUUUACAUAUAGUUCAACUUAUAGUUAUUUAACGAUCGAACACCAUUCUUAGACGAUGACUUAUAUGACGUCCAUGUAUGUUGAACAACUUAUUUUCUUGAUAAUUCUGAGUCAAUUUAAGUGUUUUUAUGAGCUAUUGAAAGAAUCAUAAUCGAUUAGAUUUGGACCAUUUAAUGGGUUCGAAAAAAGUACAGGGUAUUUACAUGUUCCCCCUACAAUGGCAGGGAGACUCAUAGAUCCUAAUAGGUAUAUUAUAUGGAUAGGGUGAUGCUAACGGUUGGUUGUGAGUACCUAUGUAUGUUGGUUUCUAAGGCUGUUUUGAGGACCAACUCACGUGAGGUGAGGGGUCCUGCUGAUGGUCAGUGCUACUAUUGUAGGCAGACAGUUAGAUUAUCGAUAUUAGGACUGCUGGGAGCGAAGCACUCACUGAGCAGUAUGGGUGGUAUUGAGAGAAUAUGACUUGAUCCCCUAUCCCUUUGAGGGAUGAGAUAUUUAUAAGGAUUUCUGGUUCAUAUGGCUUUCUUGGAAAAUGUUGUCUCCCUCUCAGUCAAACGGUGGACCGUUGAAUUCCUAUUUCCAAGGGAUAUAUGGGUCAAUAACUAUCUUGUUUUUCGUGUUAUCUAAGACACGUCUUAUCCCACGUUUCUUCUUCCCAGAUACGAGAAAAAUGUAGGGGGUAAGGUGGUACCUGUAACACCAUAAACCAAGAAACUUAUAUAAAAAGAUUUAAUCGACAAUUCAAAGUGUCACCACGACAACCAACCAACAUAAAUUUCAAACAUUUAUCAACAUGCAUUGGAAAAUCAUUUCAUAACAACUUCAAAAAUAAACUUCGCAAAUAAAACACAUAAUCCAGUGUUUAACUCAAAACAUAUAAAAAAUGCCUUGUUCGCGAUGUUAUGAGAUCAAAGCACUAAAGCCACUAAAACUGCGAUAAAAUGAUAAAUAAACGAAGAAUAAAUUCAAUAAGAUACCUUCCACACACAACAAUAACUUUACUCCUGAUUAUCUGCAAGAUGUCCAUGGGGGACAACAUUAAGAAAAUGGGGUGAGAAAUAAACUUUGGUAUAAAACAGUAUAAAUAAUUCAAAGGUAGAUAAACACACAAGAUAUCAUACAUUCAAUACACACUAACAUCAUCACAAUCUCACAUCCAUUUAAUAAAACAGUAUAAUAUACAAAUAUAUGCAAUGCAACUCACGAGAGAAUGUGACACUAUGCAUGUGAUACCAAGUCAACAUUUGGUUCUCUCAAGAACGGGGUCCCCCCUUCUGAAGCCAUGAGCUCCUCCGUCUGAGCGCCAAGCUCCCCCUCCCCCCCUUCUGAGCUUGGGACAAGCCACUAGUUCCCCCUUCUGAACUAGAAAACAUGUCUCUUUCAAUAACACGACACAAUGAUGCAUGUCAAAUAUAAAUCAAUACAACAACAAAAAUAAUGCUUAUGGUCCCCCUUCUGAUCAUAACCAACAUUUAUUGACACACAAUAAUAAUUCCCCCCUUCUGAACUACUAUCCACCAAUUAUAACAACAAUGCAUACAAGCAUACAAAUAGUCACCCCUUCUGACCAUAACCAACAUGCUAAAUCACUGAUUUACGUACUUUAUUCUUCGAUUUCAUGAAAUCCACAUUUAGGUUUCAAGCCUUCAAAACAUCAACGAUGACAUACAUCACAUAAACAUAAAACAUAAUUUCACAGACACAAAUUUAGUCACGAAAAUCAGAUAACAACACAUUCAAUCAUCAAUUUUCAGAUUAUCAUACCACAACAACAAUUCAUAAUAGAUUUCAUACAAUCCAUAAAGAGAGUAAGGGUCCCUCUUCUACCUUUUCAUGCAAAACACCCAUAUAGAAGCACUCCCACCUUACCUCAGAUUCCUAGCAGCAAAAUUUAGAAUUUGAUCAACGUUGGUGGUUUGAGUUCUUCCCUCUUCAAGUCCUAACCUCCUUUUUUCUCCAAAAGCUCUCACAUUACAUAUUCUCCCUUAAAAACUCUAUUAACCUUUUUUUAUCUCUAAAACCUAAUUUAAUCUUUUAUUAAUUAUAUUUUGGCCCAAUUUUUUUUUGUAAUUCUCAUUGCUUCCCUUAUUUCUCUUAAUUCAUAUUUUCCAUCCAAAACCUCUCUUUCUAUUUUAUUUUAAUUAAUUAAAAACAAUUAUUAAUCAUAAUUAUUUCUAAUUAUUUAAAUCAUUUUAUCCUCCCACCAAUACUCUCACUACCAUAUGCCGCAUACACAUGUCACUAAUAAUAUAUAUAAUUAAAAGAGAACUACAUACUAAAUAAUUAAAUAAAAACACGAAUAAUUUGAUUAAAUAUAUUAAUCAAAUUCAGGGUGUUACAAUACCUCAAUUCGGGAAGUCUUGCGUUGUCGACCCUUUUCCUAAGACGAUCCCGAGUUGUCUCCCUAGGCAGGUUACUUACGAAUAUAACACAAUAUAUAUUAGUCAUAUUAAUAUGAUUUAAUCUAAAAUAUGUAAAAAUAAUUAUAU